GGUUGCGAUCAUACAAGCACAAAUGCACCAGAUCCCAUCAGACCUCCGCAGCUAAGCAUGCUUGGGCGAGAGUAGUACUAGGAUGGGUGACCCCCUGGGAAGUCCUCGUGUUGCAACCC
rnacentral:rRNA from 1 species